rnacentral:pre_miRNA from 1 species
CAACUAGUCCCUCUAUCCCAAAUUUCUUGUCUUAGAUUUGUCUAGAUACGGAUGUAUCUAAUACUAAAAUGUGACUUGAUACAUCUGUAUCUAGACAAAUCUAAGACAAGAAUUUUGGGACAGAGGGAGUACUUU